ensembl:snRNA U6 U6 spliceosomal RNA
GUGCUUGCUUUGGCAGUACAUAUACUAAACUUGGAACGAUACAGAGAUUAGCAUGGCCCCUAUGCAAGGAUGACACGCAAAUUUGUGAAGCAUUCCACAUUUUU